rnacentral:lncRNA from 1 species
GAGGCAACAUGGACCUUAGUGGCCCUUCAGUUGGGAAAUGAGCAUCAAGCCCUUAGCCUUGUCAAGCAAGUGCUCAACUUAUGGACAUUUCAUUUGUGACAAAUGUCCAUGUGUGAUUCAUAUCCAUAUGCUGAGGUUCCCAUCCUGAUCCCAGAGCUGCACCACUUCAGGAGACAAAAGGGAGACUUACAUAAAGAGGACAGACAAUGUUUGAUAGACCUUGGCCCCCACUUGAACCCUGCAGUCUGCUCUUCCUUGGAAAGAAUCCCAUUUCAGACAGACACUUCUGGCAGAAGGUGCUGACAGACGUGGGAUGAGGCCGGAACUCGUGUCCUGUGACAAUCACCAGCUUUCUGAGGCCUACUCAUGUGUCUGUGCAGAAUGGCCACUUCUGGAUUCUGUUUUCAAAAAACAACAGUGACC